AGAGUUUGAUCCUGGCUCAGGACGAACGCUGGCGGCGUGCUUAACACAUGCAAGUCGAACGGGGGUUACGAGGAAGCUUGCGAAUUGUAACUUUAGUGGCGGACGGGUGAGUAACGCGUGGAUAACCUGCCUAUCAGACCGGGACAACACCGGGAAACUGGCGCUAAUACCGGAUACGCCCGCAGGCACACAUGUACGUGCGGGGGAAGGAGCAAUCCGCUGAUAGAUGGGUCCGCGUCCCAUUAGCUAGUUGGCGGUGUAAGGGACCACCAAGGCGACGAUGGGUAGCCGGCCUGAGAGGGUGAACGGCCACACUGGAACUGAGACACGGUCCAGACUCCUACGGGAGGCAGCAGUGGGGAAUAUUCCGCAAUGGGCGCAAGCCUGACGGAGCAACGCCGCGUGAGUGAUGAAGGCCUUCGGGUUGUAAAACUCUGUCUUCAGGGAAGAAACAAAUGACGGUACCUGAGGAGGAAGCCCCGGCUAACUACGUGCCAGCAGCCGCGGUAAAACGUAGGGGGCGAGCGUUGUCCGGAAUUACUGGGCGUAAAGGGCGCGUAGGCGGUUUUUCAAGUCAGGGGUGAAAACUCUGGGCUCAACCCAGAGCCUGCCUCUGAAACUGAGAGACUUGAGGGCAGGAGAGGGGAGUGGAAUUCCCAGUGUAGCGGUGAAAUGCGUAGAUAUUGGGAGGAACACCAGU
rnacentral:rRNA from 1 species